UGGCAGCGUCGAGAGGCGCAGCGAGGAGACCCCACUCAGUGGUCCGGGACCGAGCGCCCGGCGCUACCUCCAUCCCUGCGCUUGAGGCUACCUUGCGGGGUGCCCCAGAGCAACUUUCUGGGGAGUUGGUGGCACAGAACCUUCCAGUGGGAUUUCUGGAGUUCUCCCAGAGCCUCCAAAUCCGAAGUCGCGCCUCUGGCAGCCUGUGAAGCCCGGGGCAAUUUGUUUAGUUAGUUCGGCCGUCACCAGGGUGGCUCCCGCUUUCUUAACGUCCGCAGGGCCGAGGUGGGUCAAACCAGGCCAGCCUGGUGUGUGCGGAUGCCAUCUCUGCCUGUGGUGCCUACUGGAUCUCUGAGACUCAGUUUCCUCCGUUAUAAAAGCAAGGAAGCCAACCUACCACACGUGUAAAAUAGACUUCCAUGCCAGUAGCCUGCAAUGGCGCUGAGAUUCUGCACUCCUGAAUGGCUGGCCCAGAACUGAAGAGAGAUUUCCAGGGCCAUGCCUCAGGCCCUAACCAGCUUUCACUUGUAUCUUGGAUAUCUUCACAGAGCAAAGGGCUAAAUUUCUUUUUCCUCAAGAAAAUCUCAUGUACAACGUCGGUGGUUCUCAACCUUCCUAAUGCUUCGCUCUUUAAUAUAAUUCAUAUUGUGGUGACCCUAACCAUAAAACUACUUCCUUGCUACUUCAUAACUGUAAUUUUGCUACUGUUGUGAGUAGUGAUCUGUGUUUUCUGAUGGUCUCCCCUGUGAAAGGGUCAUUCGCUACCAAAGCUGUCCCGACGCAUAGGUUGAGAACAGCUGCUGUAGAUGGUGGUGUGCCCACCCCUCUGCUAUGCAAAGUGAAGCUAAUAAGGAGUGGGUGAGUUUGGAACAUUUAUACUCUGCUUUUGGCACACUCAGAGACCUCUCCACUUUGGACCUCAGUUUCCCACAGAGACAAGAGGAAGGAGAAGAGUUUGGAUUAGGUGUCCCUAAAAAACUGACUCUACACUACACCCGCAUCCAGCCUAGAUGUUGGAGUAUGUGGCUCCCCUCCUAAAGCAACCCAACUUGAGAGUAAAUUGGGAUCAAAACAUGCUUUGGGUAUGAGGUGAGCUGCUGACAGGAGUCAGUUGUGGUUGGUCUGGGGACCAGAUUUCAUACAUUUGGGGUCUCCAGAUCCCUGUGGCCUGGCUUUUACCUUCUCACCUUUCAUUCUACCCAGCCAGAGCAAGCCAUGCUUCCCCUAGCCUCAGGUCACCCACAGAGACUCUGGAGCUCCCAGGCAGGGCCUGAAGUGGUUCUAGGGACCCUGACAGGAGGAUGUGGUGGAGAAGGCAAUGAUUUCUCCUGACUCCUGUCCCAUCUCAUCAAGUGGGGGCUGAUUCCAACACAGGUCAGGACUACUAUUCCUGGGGAUUUGAUUACACACACACACACACACCUCUUUGACUACAGGCAAAGUGCCAAGCCCUUCCGGAGCAAAGCUGAAUAGACCGCCAGGCCCUGCCCUCUAGCUGUUCCCAUUGUUCUCCCCCAACAGAACACUAUCCAGGUGACCACCACAUGGAAACUUGUCCCAUUCUACAGCCCUACCAUGUGCCUUUGAAGUAUCACACAGAGGAAACACAUUCAUUGAAAUCAUGACCAGCAAACAGGUAUUAGUACUCUUGUGCUGGGUGUGUGGCCCUGGACAACUCAUCCCCACCUAUGCCUGCCUGACCCCCUAGUGUUUCCUCUCCUAUAGGUACUGUGAAUGUCUAAAGAGAGCUGCCGGAAAUAUUCAUGCAGUACCAGGCACAAUUAACUCUGCCACUACCAUGCAUGGUGCUGCAUGCUUGGAGUCCCAGGACUCAGGAGGCUGAAAGAAGGGUUUUGUUGUAAAUUGGAGACAAUACACCAGCUGAGCAGAUGAAGCUCAGGGAAAUUAAUUGCUGCCCAAAGUCCUACAGCUCAGGGUAGUUACUUUGUUUUGUUUUGAGGCAGUUUCACAAUGUAGCCCCGGGCUGGCCUCAAGUCAUGAUGGUCCUCCAGACUCAGCCUCUGGGGUGCUGGGAUCACAGUUCUGACAAUGCUACACCCAGCUUGCCACAGCUUGUUGUAUCCCUCCUUGUCUCAAAUGUAUCCAUCUCAGUUUUCCUUCUGUACUUUGUAGUCUUUUAAAGAAAACGGAGUAAAUGAGCUGUUUCUUUCUCCCACCUCUCCUAACCUAGUCUACACUAAAAUACCUAUUGAACGGAAUCACUGUGUAUCAAUUCCAGAGGCAAAACUAAUCCCUUCUCUCUUUCUCUGGCUCCGAGAUGGCUUUUGGAAACCCUGUGUCACUCCUUUUAUUACAAACUCCUCGGCCCUCCUACAAGAACCUGGGCCACUCUGGGAUUACAAAUGGAGCUUUCUGCCUCUAGGUCACUGAUUCUGCUACCAUCUGUCAGCACGGAUUGAUUGAAGAGACUGGCCCUGCUCAGCAGAUCAGUGGCUUGUGAGAACUGAGCCAGUGUGUCUGCUUCAGCUGCAGGCUGGUGUCCUUCCCAGUACCAGCUGACUCUCUUGAGCAACGGAACAGCCUCACCUCUAUCCUUCCUUCAGCAGACUCCUGCUCUCCUUCCUCUUGGGAGGGACCACUAGCUAACAACUCUAACACACUAAGAGGAAAGCCGGGAUUCCUCCUUCAGAAUCCUGAGGCUUCACCUCUAGUCUUGCAGGAGACAGCUUACAAAAGUCUGUGGUUGACAGAAGGGGAAACUCCCCCCAACACCAUGCUGUGCCUGUCCCAAGCCAGGUAUUUUCCCCAGGCAGAGUGGAAAUGCAGAGCAUGCUCAGGCACACAGGCAUAGCUUGAUGCUCUCUCUGGGCAUGCCUUCAUUCCACAGGAUCACCUGCAAGUUCUUUUCUCAGGCAAAGUUAAGAAAGGCUAUAAAGCCUUGGGUGGGAUGCCCAAGACUUAAUGGAGAGAACUACUGCCCCUGCUAUGCACAAGAGACCUGUGCCCAAAGCAGUAGAAAGAGGUAACAAAGAUGGGGCCCUGCAGAGCCUUGUAUCUUGUGAAGGAUUUGGUGAGACUGUUGUAGUCUCACGGUGGCCUCUGCUAACCAGCUUGCCCUUCCACUCUGCCCUACAAGAUCAAAGUCAUGACCACUGGUCCCACUGGGCUGUUUGUCCUUUUUUGUUGUUAUUGUUACUGGACAUUCCUACUUCCAUCUGGUGUCUGGUACACUAUACAAGAAAAGACAGCAUAGUCACAAAAAUUACAUAUUGCUGAUGAUGAGACAGCCCAGAGGAUACCAGGAACUGGGCAGACUUCCCCUAUCACCCUAAUUAAUGUUCAAGAGUACCUGAUGAGAUUGAUACUGAUAUCACACCCCACUUGACAAAUGCAGCCUCCGAGAUACAGGGAAAUUUAAGUAACUUGUCCUAAGUCAUUAAACUUGAAAGAGGCAGAGCUGGGAUUAUCCUAGGUUCCUAGUGAUUGUACUUUUAACGGCCCAGCUUCCUAGUGCUUAGGGACUACGGGGGGGGGGGGGGGGGGGGGGGGGGAAGGG